rnacentral:rRNA from 1 species
AAACUGGGAUUAGAUACCCCACUAUGCCUAGCCAUAAACUUUGAUGAAUCCGCCAGAAUACUACGAGCAACAGCUUAAAACUCAAAGGACUUGGCGGUGCUUUAAACCCACCUAGAGGAGCCUGUUCUGUAAUCGAUAAUCCCCGAUAAACCUCACCAUCAAUUGCUAAUUCAGCCUAUAUACCACCGUCCAGCCCACCCUCUAAAGGAUAAACAGUAGGCACAACUGCAAUCGCAAAAACGUCAGGUCAAGGUGUAGCUUAUAAGAUGGGAAGAAAUGGGCUACAUUUUCUACCCUAGANAAACACGAAAGAUUUUAUGAAAUUAACUUCUGAAGGAGGAUUUAGUAGUAAAAAAGGAUAAGAGUGCCUUUUUUAACAUGGCAAUAAAGCGCGUACACACCGCCCGUCACCCU